rnacentral:rRNA from 1 species
UACGGAGGAUCCAAGCGUUAUCCGGACUUAUUGGGCUUAAAGGGUGCGUAGGCGGCUUAUUAAGUCAGGGGUGAAAGACGGUGGCUCAACCAUCGCAGUGCCCUUGAUACUGAUGAGCUUGAAUACACUUGAGGUAGGCGGAAUGUGACAAGUAGCGGUGAAAUGCAUAGAUAUGUCACAGAACACCAAUUGCGAAGGCAGCUUACUAAGGUGCAAUUGACGCUGAGGCACGAAAGCGUGGGGAUCAAACAGG